rnacentral:rRNA from 1 species
GAGCACGUAGGUGGGUUUGUAAGUCAGAUGUGAAAGCCUUCUGCUCAACGGAAGAAUUGCAUCUGAAACUACAGACCUUGAGUAUAGGAGGGGAGAAUGGAACUUCUGGUGGAGCGGUGAAAUGCGUAGAUAUCAGAAGGAACACCGGCGGCGAAAGCGAUUCUCUGGCCUAUUACUGACACUCAGUGUGUGAAAGCUAGGGGAGCAAACGGGAUUAGAUACCCCGGUAGUCCUAGCCGUAAACGAUGGGCACUAAGUAGAGGGGUUU